GUCAGAUUUUAAUGCACUCUGAUUCGGCAAUCGCAUUUUAUGCAAAUAGCAGGCACUAUUAAUUAUUAAAAUAAAAUAGCCAAAAAUUUAAGAUUAGCCACUACCUUUUGGCCAUUUUAACCACUUUUUCACAUUUUCAAAACGAGGCUGAAAUUCGACAAAAAGUUAAGGGUAACCCCUGAACGUUUCGCCCAUUUCGGCAACUUUUGAAGUUUUUAAAAAGGUGAAAAAAUGGCGAAAAGUAAAGGAGUUAAUGGCUUUAACUUUUUUCAAAAAACGUUCACCUUUACUUGUUGUUGGGAAAAGCUAAUGAGUUUUUCCCAUUUUUGACGCCAUUUUCAAACACCAAAACUGUCAAUGGCAAAUCUGACGAAAAAGUAAUGGCUACCACGUGAACACUUCGAGGGACGUCUUGAAUUUGUGGUCAACUAUUAAAGUACAUUUACAGGUAUAAUUAUUUCAGCAUAAAAAUGUUUACAGCUAAACUAUAGCCAUGUAUAACGCAUUGUGUAUGUACAAAUGUUAAAAACAUUAUUAAUAUAUUAAAUAUUAUAGAACUCUCUUUUAAGACAACUUGUCAACACCAGGGAAGUUUUUUAAUAUAAAAGGCGACCACCACCUUCCAUUCCUGACGGUAAAUCCUAUAUCAAGUCUCCGGGGGGAUUAGUUGUUUCAAACACGCUUGAGGGAGAAGGCUUUCUUGGAGAGUGGACCAAUGCGAAUUGCAUAUUGGCCAGGGAUGGGCGCGGGCUUAUAGAUUUCUCCCUCUAAAAUAAGCGUGGAAGUUAUCAACCAAAGGCUUCCCCUAAAGAAUAGGAGCUUAUAUUAUUGUCUGAAGGAGAGAGUGUCUUAAUAGAGAAUUUACCGUCAUGCAAGAGCAAAAGAUCCGAGCAGCUGUGGGCCCAAUUCGGCAAGAUUUGAUGUUCUGACUGUUGUUGUUGUACGGCCGAAGCUGAGCUAAUGGUGACCAGAUCGAACGCGGGAAAAGCUCAGCGUGUUGGCGGGACGGAAUUUUCUGUGUGUGUGUGUAACUGCCUUUUAUGGAAGCUGGCCUGGAGCCCAUUCCAACAUUCUCUGCUCACAAAGCAGAUUGUCAAUCAUUGAUCCAGUCAUUGAUCCAAUAGCUCUUUGAGCUUUUGCCGUAAUCUGUGUGACUUUGCUUGAGCCUGCUCAAACAGAGAUUGUCCCAUUAAAGAAUAAAAGUAGGUUAGCCAAACCGUGAACGGCUUCCUUCAUAUUUCCACUGCCAGUCGAUGCACUGCUCGAAGACUCGAGAAGUUUCCACAUCACCGGUAGAGCGUAUUUUGACACAAUGGAUGGUAUUCGCGGAUAAACAUCUUUGAUAAUAGCUGAAAUAAACGA
rnacentral:lncRNA from 1 species